rnacentral:rRNA from 1 species
GAUGAACGCUGGCGGCGUGCUUAAUACAUGCAAGUCGAACGGACAGACGCGGCGCUUGCUCCUCUGACGUUUGGCGCGGACGUGUGUAUAACGCGUGGAUCACCUACCUAUAAUUGUGAUAAAUCUUCGAAAAACCGGCGCUAACCCCAUAUGAGCUCUUGAACCAUGUUGUUCGAUGGAGAGAGACGGCUGUUGGGGAUGGACUCGCGGGUUCUCAGCUUGUUUGGCGGGUUGUGGCUUACCAAGCCUAUGAAGGGUAGCCUGCCUGAGAGGGUGAACGGCCACAUUGGGACUGAGAUACGGCCCAGACGCCUACGGGAGGCAGUAGUGGGGAAUAUUGCACAAUGGGCGGAAGCCUGAUGCAGCAACGCCGCGUGCGGGAUGACGGCCUUCGGGUUGUAAACCGCUUUCGCCUGUGACGAAGCGUGAGUGACGGUAAUGGGUAAAGAAGCACCGGCUAACUACGUG